rnacentral:rRNA from 1 species
UUCAACGGCCGCGGUAUACUGACCGUGCAAAGGUAGCGUAAUCAUUUGUCUUUUAAUUGAAGACUAGUAUGAAUGGCAUCACGAGGACUAAUCUGUCUCCCUCCCCCAAUCAGUGAAACUGAUCUCCCCGUGCAGAAGCGGGGAUAAUAUCAUAAGACGAGAAGACCCUGUGGAGCUUCAAAUCAAUAAUCAACUGCUUCACCCACCCCAAAUAAAGGAUACACUCACGCAAACUUGAUUUAGAUUUUCAGCUGGGGCGUCUAUGGAGAAAAAAAAAUCCUCCAUGAAAAUUUAUGCUAAAAGCUACCACCAUAGGCAUUAAUAUACUUAACUUUAAUUGACCCAAUUUUUGAUCAACGGACCAAGUUACCCCAGGGAUAACAGCGCUAUCCACUUAAAGAGUCCUUAUCGACAAGUGGGCUUACGACCUCGAUGUUGGAUCAGGGCAUCCAAGUGGUGCAGCCGCUACUAAAGGUUCGUUUGUUCAACGAUUAAAG